rnacentral:sRNA from 1 species
AUGUGCCACGCGUACACUUCGCCUCCCUUGCGCCGUCCGCAUCGACCUGACGACCGCUCGCUACGGUUUGAUAGCC